CUCCGAUGAGAGCCGCUGCGGUGGGUACGAAUAUCGCAGCCCGAAGAAAAACGUUCUGGAAACAAAAGACUGCAGACUCUUGGUGGCACGGAGCAGCGACGAGACGGACAUGGACUCGGAUGGUGACGAGCUGCCGGCCUUCGCCAAGCGGACGUGCCUGUCUCCAGUCUCAAAGAGCGCCCCAGCGGAGGAGGACAGCAGGAAGCCAGGGGUCCGGGGUGCACCUGGGACGGCA